CAUUAUGAAAUAAUAAAAGAUGUCACGAACUAUGCGGUUAAAGGGAAUCCGGUGUGAAUCCGGAACAGUACCUGCUGCUGUAAGUCCUAAUUAUUAUCGCUGCACAAAACCAUUGGUUGCACCAACAACUGAGAAGGAGCAGAGAGAUAGGGAUAAGUCAGAAUACCUGUUCACCAAUCAAGAAAGCU
rnacentral:ncRNA from 1 species